AUAACCGAUGCGGGUCAAAGCGUAGUAUCUGUUCUGAUCAGCCUAAUAUCUGACACGGUUUGUAUUUGGACGUAAGAUGUUAAACUUAUUGUUGCAAGUUGGCGAAGAAAUGCUUGAAGCCUGCUUCAUCUCCGCCGCGAGUCGGCCCGGUGUUACACUAUCUUCGGGAUCGAUCCACGUAUG